ACGGGCGUAGCUCAAUUGGCAGAGCACCGGAUUCCAAAUCCGGCGGUUGGGAGUUCGACUCUCUCCGCCCGUG
rnacentral:tRNA from 1 species